rnacentral:rRNA from 1 species
UACGGAGGGUGCAAGCGUUAUCCGGAUUUACUGGGUUUAAAGGGUGCGUAGGGGGGUCUGUAAGUCAGUGGUGAAAUCUCCGGGCUUAACCCGGAAAUUGCCAUUGAUACUAUAGGUCUUGAAUCAUCUGGAGGUAAGCGGAAUAUGUCAUGUAGCGGUGAAAUGCUUAGAUAUGACAUAGAACACCAAUUGCGAAGGCAGCUUACUACGGAUGUAUUGACACUGAGGCACGAAAGCGUGGGGAUCAAACAGG